CCGCAAUGGACGAAAGUCUGACGGAGCAACGCCGCGUGAGUGAUGACGGCCUUCGGGUUGUAAAGCUCUGUUAAUCGGGACGAAAGGCCUUCUUGCGAAUAGUGAGAAGGAUUGACGGUACCGGAAUAGAAAGCCACGGCUAACUACGUGCCAGCAGCCGCGGUAAUACGUAGGUGGCAAGCGUUGUCCGGAAUUAUUGGGCGUAAAGCGCGCGCAGGCGGAUAGGUCAGUCUGUCUUAAAAGUUCGGGGCUUAACCCCGUGAUGGGAUGGAAACUGCCAAUCUAGAGUAUCGGAGAGGAAAGUGGAAUUCCUAGUGUAGCGGUGAAAUGCGUAGAUAUUAGGAAGAACACCAGUGGCGAAGGCGACUUUCUGGACGAAAACUGACGCUGAGGCGCGAAAGCCAGGGGAGCGAACGGGAUUAGAUACCCCGGUAGUCCUGGCCGUAAACGAUGGGUACUAGGUGUAGGAGGUAUCGACCCCUUCUGUGCCGGAGUUAACGCAAUAAGUACCCGCCUGGGGAGUACGACCGCAAGGUUGAAACUCAAAGGAAUUGACGGGGGCCCGCACAAGCGGUGGAGUAUGUGGUUUAAUUCGA
rnacentral:rRNA from 1 species